UCCAUUCAUCCUGGGGACACACACGGAUUCGAGGCCCCGUUCCUAAGAGGCCACGGGCAGAGGAGACGGGAGGAGUUGGUGCACACGCUUGGUGCAAUGAGCGUGGGGAUGUGUGCGACACAGACAGCUUGGACCGUGUCCAUAGUGUAGCAUUGUGGUCCCUGUAGAGCCUCGGUGGCAGAACUCCGCCUUUCUUGUCAACGUCUCUGCCUGGUUUCGCGGAAAGAAGGCGCUUCUCCUUGGACCCAGUGAAUGAGAUGCUCCAGCUGUCCCCUCUGCUCCUAGGUGGUGGAGCAAAAGUCUUACUGCUGUUCAGUAGGGAAUCAGCAAACGCCGAAGGGAGGAGCCGCCAGCAAAGUUAUCCUUGGCAAGCCGAAAUAGGGGAGUUUCCAUUUUCCC